rnacentral:sRNA from 1 species
UUUUUUUAUUGUUUUUUU